UACGGGGGGUGCGAGCGUUGUCCGGAUUCACUGGGCGUAAAGGGCGCGUAGGCGGCUGGCUCAGUCGGGCCUGUAAGUGCGGGGCUCAACCCCGUGAUGGGCUCGGGACGGGUCGGCUGGGGCGCGGUCGAGGGAGACGGAAUUCCGCGUGUAGCAGUGAAAUGCGUAGAUAUGCGGAGGAACACCGAUGGCGAAGGCAAUCCCCUGGGCCUGCACUGACGCUCAUGCACGAAAGCGUGGGGAGCAAACAGG
rnacentral:rRNA from 1 species